GCCUGUGUGGCAUAGCUGGUAUGUUGGCGGAUUUAUGUUAUGUAAUCCGAGUAUGCGUGUUCAAUUCACAUCACAGUUG